rnacentral:rRNA from 1 species
GAUGAACGCUAGCGGCAGGCCUAAUACAUGCAAGCUGAACGGCAAGAUUUGUAGCAAUACGAGUCCUAGAGUAGCGUAAGGGUGCGUAACACGUAUGCAAUCUGCCCGCAACAGGAGGAUAGCUUAGCGAAAGUUGAGAUAAGACUCCAUAAGAUCACGAGAGGGCAUCUGAUUGUGAUUAAACUACAAGGGGUUGCGGAUGAGCAUGCGUCUGAUUAGUUAGUUGGC